rnacentral:rRNA from 1 species
AUACGGAGGAUCCGAGCGUUAUCCGGAUUUAUUGGGUUUAAAGGGAGCGCAGGCGGAGAUGCAAGCGUGACGUCAAAUUUCGGGGCUCAACCCCGUCUCGCGUCGCGAACUGCGUCCCUUGGUUGCGGGAAGGGGAGGCGGAACUCGUGGUGUAGCGGUGAAAUGCAUAGAUAUCACGAAGAACUCCGAUCGCGAAGGCAGCCUUCCGGCCCGUCAACGACGCUCAUGCUCGAAGGUGCGGGUAUCAAACAGGAUUAGAUACCCUGGUAGUCCGCACAGUAAAUGAUGGACACCCGCGGUUUGGCCUAUAUGGCUGAGCCGCCAAGCGAAAGCGUUAAGUGUCCCACCUGGGGAGUACGCCGGCAACGGUGAAACUCAAAGGAAUUGACGGGG